rnacentral:rRNA from 1 species
UACGUAGGUGGCGAGCGUUGUCCGGAAUUACUGGGCGUAAAGGGAGCGUAGGCGGUUUGAUAAGUGGGAUGUGAAAUCCCCGGGCUUAACCUGGGAAUUGCAUUCCAAACUGUAAGACUAGAGUGCGGGAGAGGAAAGUGGAAUUCCAAGUGUAGCGGUGAAAUGCGUAGAGAUUUGGAGGAACACCAGUGGCGAAGGCGACUUUCUGGACCGUAACUGACGCUGAGGCUCGAGAGCGUGGGGAGCAAACAGG